CACACACAAAAUAAAAUAAAUAAAAUACAUUUAAAAGUAUUUACAUAUGAACGGGAAACGGCUCCGCUAAUAACGGAAACUUUAACGACUUAAGUAAAAGUUAACGGUAACUGAUUAUAAGUUAGUUUUCUUACCGCGGAUGAAAGUGCUCCUCCUCUCCGGUUCCUCCCCGGUUCCUCUCCGGUUUCUUCACGUUUUCCCCAUGAAUGUGUCUCUUCAGCUGCGGACAGUCCGCCGUUAAACCACCGACAGUCCGCUGUUAAACCACCGAGACACACCGAGAGUAACGGAGCACCGACUCCCGUAGCCUGAGAGCACCGGAGACACACUUCCGGUCAAGCUUUUCAAAAAUAAAAUGCUACCCGCCAGACCUGUGCUUGUUAUAACCUUCGCAGCACCUGAACGCACCAGGAGUUGAGCCCGCCCCCAGAGAGCUGUGAUUGGCGGAGAGACGUCACAUCGUCAGAAACCAAGACGCCGGCAGAGAAGAAGCAGGAAAAGAAAAUCAUAACAAUAUUAAUUAUCAGAAUAUUACCUGAGAUCCAAUAACCUUUCUACCUGCAGCAGAUAUGGGGGCCUGGUUCUCCUCCUCCUCCCCCCCCCUGGACAGUAGUGUACACGUGGUGGUGGUUGGUGGUGGGUUCGGGGGCAUCACGGCGUCUCGCCUCCUUCAGGACGCCGGGAUCAGCUUCACGCUCCUGGACCUCAGAGACGCCUUCCAUCACAACGUGGGGGCGCUGAGGGCCUCCGUGCAGCCGGGUAACAGCACCUCCUCCUGCACCUCCUCCUGCACCUCCUCCGUCUUCUACAUUUUAUAUUCACUCUUAAUCUCCCUUUUUAUUUCCUUUGACAAAUGAUAGCUCCUCCUCCUGUAGUAAUGAUAGCACCUCCUCCUGUAGUAAUGAUAACACCUCCUCCUGUAGUAAUGAUAGC